rnacentral:rRNA from 1 species
ACUCCUACGGGAGGCAGCAGUGGGGAAUCUUGCGCAAUGCGCGAAAGCGUGACGCAGCAACGCCGCGUGUGGGAAGACGGCCUUCGGGUUGUAAACCACUUUCAGUUGGGACGAAGGGUGGUCCGUUAAUAGCGGUUCUACUUGACGGUACCUUCACAAGAAGCCCCGGCUAACUACGUGCCAGCAGCCGCGGUAAUACGUAGGGGGCAAGCGUUGUCCGGAAUCAUUGGGCGUAAAGCGCGUGUAGGCGGGUCGGUAAGUCUGCUCUGAAAGUCCAAGGCUCAACCUUGGGAUGCGGGUGGAUACUGCCGACCUCGAGUCCGGAAGAGGCGAGUGGAAUUCCUGGUGUAGCGGCGAAAUGCGCAGAUAUCAGGAGGAACACCAAUGGCGAAGGCAGCUCGCCGGGACGUGACUGACGCUGAGACGCGAAAGCGUGGGGAGCAAACAGGAUUAGAUACCCUGGUAGUCCACGCCGUAAACGAUGGGCACUAGGUGUGGGAGGUGUCGACUCCUUCCGUGCCGAAGCUAACGCAUUAAGUGCCCCGCCUGGGGAGUACGG